GGAGAGGUGGCCGAGUGGCUGAAGGCGGUGGGUUGCUAACUCAUUGUGCGGUGUAAGCCGUACCGCGGGUUCGAAUCCCGCUCUCUCCGCCA
rnacentral:tRNA from 3 species